UUUUUAGGAAGUAGUGUCCAAUUACAAACAAGAUUUUAUCUCUUCGUUAGCCUUUUCUCGUUUAUUUUACCUAUUUUAAGUUUAAGAAUUGUCUCUAAUUACCUAAAUCAUAGAUGUGUAUUUCAAUUCUUGUGGUUAAACUUUAUUGUAGGAUGAAAAGUAAAAGACUAAACUAACCAUCGUGUCAUUAUAAAUAGAAAUUCAUCUUAGACUCAGUUCCUCGUACAAUACACAUAAUAUACCUUCGAACUAAAAAAAAAAGAAAGGAGAAAAAGUAAAAAAGUAAAAUAUAGCAUGGCUAAGUUUGCUUCCAUCAUCACCUUCCUCUUCGUUGUUCUUAUUAUCUUUUCUGCUUUUGAAGCACCAACGAUUGUGGAAGGGCAGAAGUCAUGCAAGAGGCAGCCUAAUUCAGGGAGAAAAUAUUGUAUGAAGGAUAGUGAAUGCCGGAAGGUUUGCGUCGAAGCCGAGAAAG